AUAAACACGUCUUCAAACAACAUCUUUUAACACAUACAGUUUCUAAGAAUUUUAAAUGUGGUGAUUGUGAUUAUGGGACAAAUUAUAAACACGUCUUCAAAAGACAUCUUUUAAAACAUAGUUCCUAAGGAUUUUUGUGGACUUGUGAACUCGUCUUCAAACAACAUUUUUAAAUACAUAAUUAAUGUGAGUCCUUUGUGAAGGGACUGGCAGCCAAGCCGUGGGUAACUGACUGUGCCCAGGUCAGACCGCAUUUCUGCACUGCACUGAUGGCUGUGGGAAUCUCAAUGGAUUUCAAUCUUAGCAAUCUUUCCUGGGCUCAUCAUGGCAGAUCUUUUUUUCUGUUGAACAAGAUAGGUACAUUGAAUAAAGUAUAUGUGUAUAAUAUACAUAUUUACUAGGUUUUUGAUUCAUUUGUUUGAUACUGUAGACUAAAUAAGUACUUACUACAAACUAAUUGUAAUCUUAGUAACUCUUUUUUUUUCUAAGAUUUUGUUAAAUUUACUUAGAACAUAUGUCUACUUUUAAAUGACAAAACCUACUGCAGGACGCCCAAUUUUAUGCAACCAAAAUAUCUUCUUAAACAGGUUAGAACACCAACAUUUCAGAAUCAAAUUUUAAGAGCAAGAGAGAGAACAAACCAAUACUAGAUAUCAGUAACAGUAUUGGUUUCCAUCAUAACUUGUCGAAUAACUGUUCUGGUUCCUACCGGGAUCACUAUACCGACAUAUGCAGCGUGCCUGAUGAAUAUACAUAAGAAUAUGAGACAUCCAAAACUAUAAGCCGUAAGCCAAACAUAUGCACAUUCAUCGGACAUUUUCAACAUAUGUACUUUUCGACAUUCUAUGGAAAUACAAAAUCACGCGUAGAAUGUGCGUGUUAUAUUCAAUCAUUAAAUAUAUGUAUUUUUCUCAAUGUCUUCUAUGUGGGUUAGAACAAAAUCGGGAGAAAAUAGUGCUUGUGAUACCCUCACAACCACUCAUUUCUUUUAACACAUAUGUAACACCCUGUAUAUGCCCAUGCACAACGUCACCGAAAUGGAAAAGUACCUUUAGCGUACAUUGUGACAGUACGCAUCUUGGAUGCACGUUGUGUUUGCUUCAUGUCGACCCCGUUUUCAGUAAUAGAAGGAAUUCAUUUUAAUAUUGAAGUUUUCACGAUGCAUGAGAAUAUACUGAAUUCCGCCUAUAUUUAGACGGUUUGGCAAGGCUGCAUUUCAGUUCAAGAGGAAGGUUCAAGAUUUCAGUUGAUACAUUUUAGGUAUGGAUGAAGAUAAUACACUACCCAUUAAAAUCGAACCACAACAAGAGGAAGAAAUCCAUUCCUUUCUUCAGGGACAAAUUUCAGUAAGCAACGAAGUUUUGGUGACAAUAAAGGACGAAGUUACUAUCAGUACACUAUGUUCUAAAUCUCUUUAUAAUGAAGAAGUACAGCAACUCUCUGAUUUUCAAUGUCCCCUUUUAACUCGAUGUGAAACCGUGUCUAAGGAUUUUAAAUGUGCCAAUUGUGAUUUUGAGACAAAUUAUGAAAACAGCUUCAAACGACAUCUUUUGAAACAUAAAGUUUCUAAAGAUUUUAAAUGUGCUAAUUGUCACUUUGAAACAAAUUUAAAAUCCAGUCUUAAAAAACACCUUUUAAGGCAUAAAGUUGAUA